rnacentral:rRNA from 1 species
AAUAGAUACCCUGGUAGUCCACCCCGUAAACGUUGGGAACUAGUUGUGGGGUCCAUUCCACGGAUUCCGUGACGAAGCUAACGCAUUAAGUUCCCCGCCUGGGGAGUACGGCCGCAAGGCUAAAACUCAAAGGAAUUGACGGGGACCCGCACAAGCGGCGGAGCAUGCGGAUUAAUUCGAUGCAACGCGAAGAACCUUACCAAGGCUUGACAUACACGAGAACGCCCUAGAAAUAGGGAACUCUUUGGACACUCGUGAACAGGUGGUGCAUGGUUGUCGUCAGCUCGUGUCGUGAGAUGUUGGGUUAAGUCCCGCAACGAGCGCAACCCUCGUUCUAUGUUGCCAGCACGUAAUGGUGGGAACUCAUGGGAUACUGCCGGGGUCAACUCGGAGGAAGGUGGGGAUGACGUCAAAUCAUCAUGCCCCUUAUGUCUUGGGCUUCACGCAUGCUACAAUGGCCGGUACAAAGGGCUGCAAUACCGUAAGGUGGAGCGAAUCCCAAAAGCCGGUCCCAGUUCGGAUUGAGGUCUGCAACUCGACCUCAUG